AUGUUCUUUCUAAGUUCUUUAGUUGAUUUGAAGAGUUUGGCAGUAGGAUACUGGUGGAUUGCAACAAGUGACUUUCAAACUUCAGUUUGCAGAGUCCACUCUUUUUGUUGAGGUUUCACGAGGUGCAUAAGGCUCAUAGAUAAAUCCUGGACUUGUCAUGGAAACUCUAAGAGCUCCCUGCAUAUAUCAUAAGGACAGCUUAUCAAAGAAGAGAAGAUGGUGAUCAGUUUACCUGCUUUGACAGAAACUCAAGUGUAAGCUGUAUAAGCACCUUUUCGAGAUCUUUUGGAUCACCACCAAUAUGUAAUGAGGAGAGAAGGGAUAAGGCAAAUGAGUACCAAGUUUGAUUCAUGGGUCUAGCUAGUAGCUAGGAAUAAUGCUUUUGAUUCAUGUGUAGGUAGUAGCUAGGAAGGC
rnacentral:lncRNA from 1 species